rnacentral:rRNA from 1 species
GACAGAGGGUGCAAACGUUGUUCGGAAUUACUGGGCGUAAAGCGCGUGUAGGCGGCUAUGUAAGUCGGGCGUGAAAUCCCACGGCUCAACCGUGGAAGUGCACCCGAAACUGCGUAGCUAGAGUCCUGGAGAGGAAGGUGGAAUGCUUGGUGUAGAGGUGAAAUUCGUAGAUAUCAAGCGGAACACCGGUGGCGAAGGCGGCCCUCUGGACGGUGACUGACGCUGAGACGCGAAAGCGUGGGGAGCAAACAGG